UCUCCCGGUCUCGCGUCGUUACUCCUGCGUGAAGCGGUGAGUCGCGCGCGGGUCGGCGACUCACUCUGGGGGUCUCCACCGCUGAACCCUCCUGAAAGACUGACUGGCGGAAACUGGGACUGGAGUGUGAGCAUCUGAGGGGCUCUCCAGUGGGGCUUGGAGAGGAAUGUCUCAAAUGACUUUUCUUGAAAGCUGAGGGAGGUUUUGAAGAUCAAGUGAAGGAAGAGGGCCUAGCUCGUCUGCUGGUGGCAUCUUCUCAUCAAUCAUGUCAUCAAUUGCUAGAAAUAUGAGAACUCUCCAGAAGAUCAAGUACCGUGUAGUAGUUACCAUGCACAGGCCCCAUAGAGCCCUGGCCUUUGAGAAUGCCCUAUUCCCCAACCCAAAAGAAGGUCCCAUGUGACAAAGUUUGGAUUAGACAUUACAAAUGGCUUCCAAUGGACUACUUGCCAGACUUUGUCAUGGGAACCAUCUGACGAGCAGAACAAAGUGCAAGUGCAUAAGCAACUUCCAAUGAGAACCUAUGUAUGGGCUUGGCCCAGGUAUCUUGAAACCCUGGGAAGACCUAAAUAUAAACAAAAUUUUGCAAAGGAGAAGGGAAUCGUGAACAAAUCACCUUUCUAUAAGACACCACAAACGAUGACUGGAGAUCUGAAUUGGAAAUGCCACUGCAGCCCUGUGACCCAAGGCUCUGGAAUGGAUCAGCCCUCCUACUCACUCCCUCCUGCACACACCGCGUCUCCAUGGAAACAGCUUGUCAGGCCCUGUUUGGCUGCAGGUUCUGAAGACCUCUCAUCAGCAGCCCCAGUCCUGCACAGAUUCAGUCUUAAUAAGCCAGGCUUCUAAGGAGGAACUUGUACUAGGAGGCCCAUCCUCUCUAGCUGGUGAGGUCUGGAAUUGUCCUUAAGUCUCCUUUGGGGUAUACCUGGGGAGUCCUGAAUGUCACUGAGUUGCCCUGACCUUCCAACACUGAUAUUCAGGUCAAUGGCAGGGUUUCCAUCCUAGGUUCCUGCUUCAACCUGAACUCAUCAUCUCCUUCCAGCAAGCCUUCUGCUCCCAUCAUCUCUCCCCACCCACCAAAGGUGAAAGUCAUUCUGAGCUCUACAGGCCCCACCUGUGGCUAAUCACCAAGAGUCUUCUGUUGUCGGGCAUCAUUCAUCCAUCAGAUCGGAUCAGGCAUUUGCUACACUGCCAGGACACUGCGACUUGGACUGCUGGCCACUGUCCUUGGGGGUACAUCUACAAAUGGGCAGUAAUGGAGAGAACUUAAAGGCAUUAAACAUCAUAGAUGAGGGUGGAAGUACACGUUUUCUGUUUCUUUAAGCUAGACAAAAACCUAACAGUCUGAAUUGGAAUACUAUCACUCAUAACUUCUACUAUAUAAAUUAAUAAUUUUAACAAGUAUAACGUUCUAGUGGACAUGAGACAGUUAAUGUAGAGACCAAGGAACAACUGGGUCAUUUGCCUCAGUACUGAGGUAGUUUCUUAAUUGGACGUGUUAGGAGUGGUAGAAGAUCUCGUCUGCUGACAACUUAGAAAGUUGCAGUUGAGGAGGCAAAAGGAAAACAGAAAUCAUAAGCACUUUUACACAUAUGAAGUUGUUAAUAGGCAGCUUCUAACUCUAUGUAUGUUCGUGUUACUAAAACCUAGAACAGCACUCAAAGUACUUGUAAGUGCUCAACAACUGUUUGUUUAACCAAAACCAAACUAAAAGCAAAACAAAAUGAAACAAACAAAACUGGUACUUGUUAACAUCAGUCAGCUAUGUCCUACUCUAGGUUCAAUAAUACUAUCAGAUUAAUAUAAACUCUGAAACCAAAGUAAUCAUGUCCUAUGAUUGUAUAGCAUCAUCCCACAUGUAUUUCCUUUUCAUACUCAACAGUUCUAUACUCAACAUAUACUCAGUAUGUAGUCUUUAUUGCCUCCAUUUACAGGUAAAGGAACCAUGUCAUAACAGGUAAAGGGGCUUGCUCAGAUAAGCAAGAAAAUUAAUGUUAACCUAGAGUCUAAGAUUCUUAACUCCAAAAUGAAUAGACAAAAUUAAAAGACAAAAAAAAUCCUUUAUUAGGG